rnacentral:rRNA from 1 species
AGUCGACGGGGCGAAGCCUGACCGCAAUGCCGCGUGCAGGAAGAAGGCCUUCGGGUUGUAAACUGCUUUUGUACGGAACGAAACGGUCUGCCCUAAUACGGCGGGCUAAUGACGGUACCGUAAGAAUAAGCACCGGCUAACUACGUGCCAGCAGCCGCGGUAAUACGUAGGGUGCGAGCGUUAAUCGGAAUUACUGGGCGUAAAGCGUGCGCAGGCGGUUAUGUAAGACAGUUGUGAAAUCCCCGGGCUCAACCUGGGAAUUGCAUCUGUGACUGCAUAGCUAGAGUACGGUAGAGGGGGAUGGAAUUCCGCGUGUAGCAGUGAAGUGCGUAGAUAUGCGGAGGAACACCGAUGGCGAAGGCAAUCCCCUGGACCUGUACUGACGCUCAUGCACGAAAG